UUUCCCUUUCUCUCUCCAGAAAAAUUGAUCUCAACUGCAGGAAAAAAAAAUUGAUCGAAAACCGAUUCAAAAUUCUUAAAAACAAGGUUUUUGAUCUCAUUAGAUGUUUCAUAAGAUAAAGCUGAACAUAUAACAUCCGAUAAGGCAGGAAAAAGAUUAGGUUUCAUGGAAUCAAUUUAUCAAAAAUUGAUUUACUGUGGUUUUGAACAACUUGAAUUUGAAGAUUGAAACAACAGUAGUUCUACGAGUAUUGUGCACACCGCUAUAUGACUGUAAUACGAGUCACGGUUCCUAAGACGGUAGAUGCGGAAUGGAAGCCAUUGUGUAGUAAAUGUAACCGAGAGGUUGGGUAAGCUGCUUCGGCAGUGGAUUUCAAUUUUUUGAUAAUACAUAACGUUGUUAUUUACUUUAAUCAUUUGAUUACCUUGUGAGCAUGAAAUUUCUUCAUUGGCUAUUCUCUGUAAGCUGGUUAUUAUCUCACAGUUAGAUGUACGGUAGUUCAUGCUUUGUAGAAUUUAACUGGAUUA